rnacentral:tRNA from 1 species
AGAGAUUUAGGAUGAAAAAAAUUAAACCUAGAGCCUUCAAAGCUCUAAAAGGAAGUGCAAGCCCUCCAAUCUCUA